GAAUCUAGCGCACUGGGCGAAAGCCUGACGCAGCCAUGCCGCGUGAAUGAUGAAGGUCUUAGGAUUGUAAAAUUCUUUCACCGGGGACGAUAAUGACAGUACCCGGAGCAGAAGCCACGUCUAACUUCCUGCCAGCAGCCGCGGUAAUACGAAGGGAGCUAGCGUUGCUCGGAAUUGCUGGGCGUAAAGGGCGCGUAGGCGGAUCGUUAAGUAAGAGGUGAAAUCCCGGAUCUCAACUUCGGAAUUGCCUUUGAUACUGGCGAUCUUGAGUGUGAGAGAGGUAUGGGGAACUCCGAGUGUAGGGGUGAAAUUCGUAGAUAUUCGGAAGAACACCAGUGGCGAAGGCGACAUACUGGCUCAUUACUGACGCUGAGGCGCGAAAGCGUGGGGAGCAAACAG
rnacentral:rRNA from 1 species